rnacentral:rRNA from 1 species
GAUGAACGCUGGCGGCGUGCCUAACACAUGCAAGUCGAGCGAACGGGCGAGAAGCUCGCUUCUCUGAUGUUAGCGGCGGACGGGCGAGUAACACGUGGAUAACCUACCUAUAAGUCUGGGAUAACUUCGGGAAACCGGAUCUAAUACCGGAGGAUAUUUUGAACCGCUUGGUUCAAAAGUGAAAGACGGCCUUGCUGUCACUUAUAGAUGGAUCCGCGCUGCAUUAGCUAGUUGGUAAGGUAACGGCUUACCAAGGCAACGAUGCAUAGCCGACCUGAGAGGGUGAUCGGCCACACUUGAACUGAGACACGGUCCAGACUCCUACGGGAAGCAGCAGUAGGGGAUCUUCCGCAAUGGGCGAAAGCCUGACGGCGCAACGCCGCGUGAGUGAUAAAGGUCUUCGGAUCGUAAAACUCUGUUAUUAGGGAAAAACAUAUGUGUAAGUAACUGUGCACAUCUUGACGGUUACUAAUCAGAAAGCCACGGCUAACUACGUG